UAUUUCUGGACGGAGGGAGUAGUAUUUUGCAUCUGUACCUUUUCCAUUCUUUUCUCUUGACGUGAACCCAUUUCCCAUUCUCGUUCAUUUUUCUCUUUUUCUUCCCUGAUCUAGGGAUUCAUCCACAGAUCGUUGGAUCCAGUAAGUGAGAAGGACGUGGUGAGUAGGAUUUGCGGCAGAGUGUCGUCGUUGCAGGCUCUUGGCGGCGGCUGGUCCUCCAGCUCGACUACACGUGCCUGCUGCUCGCGUGCCGCCGUCGAUUGGAUGGCCGUGGAGUUCGCCCCCCUUGAACCUAAGCGGCAGCACUCCUCCAGACGGAGAGAGUGUUCUCCGGUGAGGUACUACUCAGAAGCCGGGAAGGGCAAAUGCAGAGAGGUGACCAAUAUGUGCAUGGAGUUUUUUUAGGAUCAAGCGAGCGAAGGUUUGCCUCAAUUUAUGUCAGAGUUGCUCAUAUCCCCCCGCCCGUUUGCUUACCUUGCGUUAUUUUGGGGAAUUAACAGUUGACAUUCUGCCCAACCUAGAUCGUCUCUUCAAUUUAGCUUGUCUCUUCAACACAUCCGUAUUAAUUAUGUGAAGUUCCGUAUAGCGAAAGGUGUUCAAUACUUCAUUGUUUCGUCUACUACCUAUAACACAUGUAAUCUUUCAAUAAUUCAUUGUCUUGUCUGUAUUUGUUAACAUUUAUAUACGUCAAUACACAUACAUUUAUUUGGUUGA